AUGGCCGAAAUUCGGCCAUCUCAGCCUCGGGCAAAAAAAAUCUCAAACCGAAAAUCAAAACACAGGCCGUGGCUGCGCACGACCAACGGCUACUUGGGCCGCCAGGUGUGGGAGUUCGACGCCGCCGUGGAGCCCGACCCCGAGGAGGUCGACGCCGUUGAGGCCGCGCGCCAGGGGUUCGUCGCGCGGAGGCACCAGCUCAAGCACAGCGCCGACCUCGUCAUGCGAAACCAGUUUGCUAAAGCAAAUCCUCUUGAGCUGGACCUUCCUGCUGUCAAGCUGGAAGAGCAUGAAGAUGUUACUGAGGAAGUUGUAUCUACUACUUUGAAAAGGGCCAUCAGUCGCCUUUCUACUCUCCAGGCACAUGAUGGACACUGGCCGGGGGAUUAUGGUGGUCCAAUGUUCCUUAUGCCAGGCUUGAUUAUAACCUUGUAUGUGACUGGAGCACUGAACACUGUCUUAUCAUCAGAACAUCAGAUUGAGAUCCGCCGGUAUCUCUAUAAUCAUCAGAACGGAGAUGGAGGCUGGGGUUUGCACAUUGAGGGACCAAGCACCAUGUUUGGUUCAGCCUUGACCUAUGUCAGUUUGAGAUUGCUUGGAGAGCGAACAGAUAGUGGAUAUGGAGCUAUGGAGAAAGGUCGAAAUUGGAUUCUAGACCAUGGAGGAGCAACGUUUGUAACAUCAUGGGGAAAAUUUCGGCUCUCGGUACUUGGUGUAUUUGAUUGGUCUGGUAACAACCCAGUGCCACCAGAAGCAUGGUUGCUACCAUAUUGCCUGCCAUUUCAUCCAGGGCGAAUGUGGUGUCACUGUCGAAUGGUGUAUUUGCCAAUGUGUUACAUUUAUGGAAAGAGAUUUGUCGGACAAGUUACGCCACUUGUUUUGGAAUUGAGAAAGGAACUUUACAAAGGCCCCUAUAAUGAGAUUGAUUGGGACAAGACUCGCAAUCAAUGUGCUAAGGAAGACUUGUACUAUCCGCAUCCAUUCGUUCAAGAUAUCUUAUGGGCCACUCUCCAUAAAUUUGUUGAACCACUUAUGAUGCAUUGGCCUGCGAGCAAACUGAGGGAGAAAGCUUUGGAAACUGCCAUGAAGCACAUUCACUAUGAAGAUGAGAACACUCGAUACAUUUGCAUUGGUCCUGUAAACAAGGUAAUGAAUAUGCUUGCGUGCUGGAUUGAAGAUCAGAACUCAGAGGCAUUCAAACUCCAUAUUCCACGAGUCUAUGAUUACUUGUGGAUUGCUGAAGAUGGCAUGAAGAUGCAGGGUUAUAAUGGCAGCCAACUUUGGGACACAGCUUUCACUGUUCAAGCCAUUGUAGCUACCAAUCUUAUUGAAGAGUUUGGGCCCACCCUUAAACUAGCACAUGAAUACAUUAAGAAUUCACAGGUUCUUGAUGACUCUCCUGGAGAGCAGAAAGACUGGUACCGGCACAUAUCUAAAGGCGCAUGGUCAUACUCUACGGCUGAUAGUUGGCCUAUAUCGGACUGCACUGCAGAAGGACUAAAGGCCUCAUUAUUGUUAGCGAAGAUUUCUCCACAAGUUGUAGGAGAUCCUCUGGAAGAUAAUAGGCUUUAUGAUGCUCUCAAUUGUUUGAUGUCUUAUAUGAAUGAUAAUGGCGGUUUUGCAUCAUAUGAACUCACAAGGGCUUAUACGUGGCUGGAGAUUAUUAAUCCCUCUGAGACCUUUGGGGACAUUGUGACUGAUUACCCGUAUGUUGAAUGUACAUCAGCAGCAAUCCAAGCUUUGACAUUAUUCAGAAAGUUCUACCCUGGGCACCUCAGGAAAGAGGUGGACAACUGUAUCAGCAAAGCUGCUAAUUUCAUUGAGUCUAUUCAAAAAAGUGACGGUUCAUGGUAUGGUUCUUGGGCUGUUUGUUUCACCUACGGCACUUGGUUUGGAGUGAAGGGAUUAACUGCUGUUGGUAGGACAUUCAAGAAUAGUCCUGCAAUCAGAAAGGCUUGUGAAUUUCUGCUGUCAAAAGAGCUUCCUUCCGGUGGUUGGGGAGAAAGCUAUCUAUCAUCUCAAGACCAGGUUUACACCAAUCUUGAAGGAAAACGUGCUCAUGCAGUGAACACUAGUUGGGCCAUGCUGGCCCUAAUUGAUGCUGGACAGGCUGCAAGAGAUCCAUCGCCUCUACAUCGAGCAGCCAAGGUUUUGAUCAACUUGCAAUCAGUGGAUGGAGAAUUUCCUCAGCAAGAGAUAAUAGGAGUGUUCAACAAAAACUGCACCAUCAGUAACUCCCAGUACAGGAAUAUCUUUCCAAUUUGGGCUCUGGGAGAGUACCGGUGCCGAGUCUUGGCCCCUGGCAAUUACUCCCUCCGUUCCUAA
rnacentral:rRNA from 1 species